GAGCGGCGGUGGGCGGCUGCCCGUAAGGAGGAAAGUCCCCCCACCGUUUAAAGGCGGACCCCCGUAAGGGGGUACCCCGAGAGGGGUGGCAACGGCACAGAAACGACACCCGCUUGGGGAAAUGCGAUGAUUCCGAAAGGAUGAGGUCACCCAAGCGGGAUGAAACGUGCCGACCCCGCCGGUGCAAGGCCGUAAGGCCGCUUAGACUGAUGCCGCCGAGAAACAGAAGGGGGCUUACUACCGCCACUC
rnacentral:RNase_P_RNA from 1 species